rnacentral:rRNA from 1 species
GAUGAACGCUGGCGGCGUGCUUAACACAUGCAAGUCGAACGGAAAUGUAAGGAAGCCUAGCGAAUUACAUUUUAGUGGCGGACGGGUGAGUAACGCGUGGAUAACCUGCCUUAUACUGGGGGAUAACAGUUAGAAAUGACUGCUAAUACCGCAUAAGCAUACGAAACCGCAUGGUUUUGUGUGAAAAACUCCGGUGGUAUAAGAUGGAUCCGCGUCUGAUUAGCUAGUUGGUGAGGUAAUGGCUCACCAAGGCGACGAUCAGUAGCCGGCCUGAGAGGGUGAACGGCCACAUUGGGACUGAGACACGGCCCAAACUCCUACGGGAGGCAGCAGUGGGGAAUAUUGCACAAUGGGCGAAAGCCUGAUGCAGCGACGCCGCGUGAGUGAAGAAGUAUUUCGGUAUGUAAAGCUCUAUCAGCAAGGAAGAAAAUGACGGUACCUGACUAAGAAGCCUCGGCUAACUACGUGCCAGCAGCCGCAGUAA